rnacentral:lncRNA from 1 species
CGGGUCAUGGUUGAACGAACAUGAAUUUCUAUAGAUUACAAUCAACUGAGUGUGGCGCGUGUCGAUAGAACAUUAAAUAACUUUCUAAUUACUUCAACCCUUUGUGUCAAUUUUAUCAUUCCAUCAGGUCCUUAGUGCAAUUUUUUGUUCUUUGCACUAAAGGGGUCUUUUGCGGUAUUUCUACGGACCCCCAAAAAAAGAUUUAAAGGACAAAACGUUAUUAUAUGGAUUGGGUUUUUUUUC